UACAGAGGUCUCAAGCGUUGUUCGGAUUCAUUGGGCGUAAAGGGUGCGUAGGCGGCGCGGUAAGUCGGGUGCGAAAUCUCGGAGCUUAACUCCGAAACUGCAUUCGAUACUGCCGUGCUUGAGGACUGGAGAGGAGACUGGAAUUUACGGUGUAGCGGUGAAAUGCGUAGAUAUCGUAAGGAAGACCAGUGGCGAAGGCGGGUCUCUGGACAGUUCCUGACGCUGAGGCACGAAGGCCAGGGGAGCAAACGGG
rnacentral:rRNA from 1 species